UACGAAGGUGGCAAGCGUUGUUCGGAUUUACUGAGCGUACAGGGCGCGUAGGCGGUUGGGUAAGCCCUCCGUGAAAUCUCCGGGCCUAACCCGGAAAGUGCGGAGGGGACUGCUCGGCUAGAGGAUGGGAGAGGAGCGCGGAAUUCCCGGUGUAGCGGUGAAAUGCGUAGAGAUCGGGAGGAAGGCCGGUGGCGAAGGCGGCGCUCUGGAACAUUUCUGACGCUGAGGCUCGAAAGCGUGGGGAGCAAACAGG
rnacentral:rRNA from 1 species